CUGUGAGGGGUGCUGGAGGUAUCAGAAGUGCGAAUGCUGACAUAAGUAACGAUAAAGCGGGUGAAAAGCCCGCUCGCCGGAAGACCAAGGGUUCCUGUCCAACGUUAAUCGGGGCAGGGUGAGUCGACCCCUAAGGCGAGGCCGAAAGGCGUAGUCGAUGGGAAACGGGUUAAUAUUCCCGUACUUGGUGUUACUGCGAAGGGGGGACGGAGAAGGCUAUGUUGGCCGGGCGACGGUAGUCCCGGUUUAAGCGUGUAGGCUGGUUUUCCAGGCAAAUCCGGAAAAUCAAGGCUGAGGCGUGAUGACGAGGCACCACGGUGCUGAAGCAACAAAUGCCCUGCUUCCAGGAAAAGCCUCUAAGCAUCAGGUAACAUCAAAUCGUACCCCAAACCGACACAGGUGGUCAGGUAGAGAAUACCAAGGCGCUUGAGAGAACUCGGGUGAAGGAACUAGGCAAAAUGGUGCCGUAACUUCGGGAGAAGGCACGCUGACACGUAGGUGAAGUGAUUUACUCAUGGAGCUGAAGUCAGUCGAAGAUACCAGCUGGCUGCAACUGUUUAUUAAAAACACAGCACUGUGCAAACACGAAAGUGGACGUAUACGGUGUGACGCCUGCCCGGUGCCGGAAGGUUAAUUGAUGGGGUCAGCGCAAGCGAAGCUCCUGAUCGAAGCCCCGGUAAACGGCGGCCGUAACUAUAACGGUCCUAAGGUAGCGAAAUUCCUUGUCGGGUAAGUUCCGACCUGCACGAAUGGCGUAAUGAUGGCCAGGCUGUCUCCACCCGAGACUCAGUGAAAUUGAACUCGCUGUGAAGAUGCAGUGUACCCGCGGCAAGACGGAAAGACCCCGUGAACCUUUACUAUAGCUUGACACUGAACAUUGAGCCUUGAUGUGUAGGAUAGGUGGGAGGCUUUGAAGCGUGGACGCCAGUCUGCGUGGAGCCGACCUUGAAAUACCACCCUUUAAUGUUUGAUGUUCUAACGUGGACCCGUAAUCCGGGUUGCGGACAGUGUCUGGUGGGUAGUUUGACUGGGGCGGUCUCCUCCUAAAGAGUAACGGAGGAGCACGAAGGUUGGCUAAUCCUGGUCGGACAUCAGGAGGUUAGUGCAAUGGCAUAAGCCAGCUUGACUGCGAGCGUGACGGCGCGAGCAGGUGCGAAAGCAGGUCAUAGUGAUCCGGUGGUUCUGAAUGGAAGGGCCAUCGCUCAACGGAUAAAAGGUACUCCGGGGAUAACAGGCUGAUACCGCCCAAGAGUUCAUAUCGACGGCGGUGUUUGGCACCUCGAUGUCGGCUCAUCACAUCCUGGGGCUGAAGUAGGUCCCAAGGGUAUGGCUGUUCGCCAUUUAAAGUGGUACGCGAGCUGGGUUUAGAACGUCGUGAGACAGUUCGGUCCCUAUCUGCCGUGGGCGCUGGAAGACUGAGGGGGGCUGCUCCUAGUACGAGAGGACCGGAGUGGACGCAUCACUGGUGUUCGGGUUGUCAUGCCAAUGGCACUGCCCGGUAGCUAAAUGCGGAAAAGAUAAGUGCUGAAAGCAUCUAAGCACGAAACUUGCCCCGAGAUGAGUCUUCCCUGAGACUUUGAGUCUCCUGAAGGAACGUUAAAGACGAUGACGUUGAUAGGCCGGGUGUGUAAGCGCAGCGAUGCGUUGAGCUAACCGGUACUAAUGAACCGUGAG
rnacentral:rRNA from 1 species